GGAUGCUUUGGAGACAUAUCACGAAGGCUCACAGGCGUUAAAGAAGGUCAAGCUUGGAAAGCUUAUGAAAGAAUUUGGAAGCUUCGCUAUCAAGAAGGGAGAAUCCAUUCGUGAAAGCCAAGCUAGAUUCCAAGUCACUCUUAACAGCCUUGAAAGACUUGGCAAAAAGAUUCCUCAAUCGGAAAUCAACAUGAAUAUUCUAA
rnacentral:lncRNA from 1 species